rnacentral:rRNA from 1 species
AGUGAACGCUGGCGGUAGGCCUAACACAUGCAAGUCGAACGGCAGCACAGUAAGAGCUUGCUCUUACGGGUGGCGAGUGGCGGACGGGUGAGGAAUACAUCGGAAUCUACUUUUUCGUGGGGGAUAACGUAGGGAAACUUACGCUAAUACCGCAUACGACCUACGGGUGAAAGCAGGGGAUCUUCGGACCUUGCGCGAUUGAAUGAGCCGAUGUCGGAUUAGCUAGUUGGCGGGGUAAAGGCCCACCAAGGCGACGAUCCGUAGCUGGUCUGAGAGGAUGAGCAGCCACACUGGAACUGAGACACGGUCCAGACUCCUACGGGAGGCAGCAGUGGGGAAUAUUGGACAAUGGGCGCAAGCCUGAUCCAGCCAUACCGCGUGGGUGAAGAGGGCCUUCGGGUUGUAAAGCCCUUUUGUUGGGGAAGAAAAGCAGCAGGUUAAUACCCCGCUGUUCUGACGGUACCCAAAGAAUAAGCACCGGCUAACUUCGUG